GACGAACGCUGGCGGCGUGCUUAACACAUGCAAGUCGAACGGAAAGGCCCUGCUUUUGUGGGGUGUCCGAGUCGCGAACGGGUGAGUAACAAGUGAGUCACCUGCCUUUGACUUUGGGAUAACUUCAGGAAACUGGGGCUAAUACCGGAUAGGAGCUCCUGCUGCAUGGUGGGGGUUGGAAAGUCUCGGCGGUUGGGGAUGGACUCGCGGCUUAUCAGCUUGUGGGUGGGGUAGUGGCCUACGAAGGCUUUGAUGGAUAGCCGGCCUGGGAGGGUGACCAGCCACAUUGGGACUGAGAUACGGCCCAGACUGGAACGGGAGGCAACAGUGGGGAAUCUGGCACAAUGGGCGGAAGCCUGAUGCAGCAACGCCGCGUGCGAGAUGACGGCCUACGUGUGAUAAACCGCUGUCACCUGUUACGAAGCGUGAGUGACGGUAAUGGGUAAAGAAGCACCGGCUAACUACGUG
rnacentral:rRNA from 1 species